AAAAGUAUGGCAGAACAAGACAUAGACCAAUAUCUCCCACCUUAUCUCAAGAUAAGGUCAAACAAGUUCAUGAUUUAGACAUAAAAGAUAAUACUAUAAGCAAAGAGAGCUAGUGAUAGUUCAGAUCUUUGGAGAAAAAGAGAAAUUUGUGGCCAAAGAAGAAAUAGAGAACAUCUGAAAUGCAAAAAUGGGAAUAUCAACUGGCUUGGAGAAAAGGCCAAGACAAGAAGACCAAUUAGAAGACUACUACAGUAGACCGGGUAAAAGAUCAAAAAGGUCAGACCUUGAGUGAAAGCCAUAUGAGCAGAGAAAGAGAUGGAUGCAAGUAAUAUUGCAGAAGUAGAAUUAACAAGAUUUUAGCAAUUGAUUACAUAUGAGAGAAAGGGACGAAUACAUAACCUCAAGAUUGAAAACUUGGAUGACUAAAAGAAUGUUGAUAACCUUCAAGAGAAAUAGGGAAAUUAAUAAGAGAGAUGGAUUUUGAAGGAAAGAUAACAAAUUCAUUUUAGGUGUGCUAAAUUUGAUUUAUCAAAAGCCAUCCAGGUGGAGGAGAUAUACAGCAGAGUUAAUAAUAUUGAACUGAAGACCAAGAGACAGAAGAAAGAUGGAUAUUUAUUUAGAAAUCACACGCAUAGAUAUGAAAAUUGAACCACAGAAACUGAUCACCAAGAGAAAGCAAGGGGGCAGUGGGGGAGAGGAGAGAAGGAGAUCUAGAACAGGACUCUGAAGCUACGUUAAUGAUGAUCCAACAAAAGAGACAGAGAAGUUCUCAAGUAGGUACGAGAGAAUGAAUGUCUGAAGAGGGUGGUCAACAAUGCAAAAAGUUGCAGAGCAUACAAGAAAGAUAAACAAAGAACAUAUGUGGAACUGUCUAUAUUAAUAUAAAAUUGUAGCUCUGCAUUAACAUGAAAGGCACUGUGCUUAGAAUUGCAAAUAAAAAGAAAAAAUAAAACAGUCCCCACUCACAAAGAAUUUACUAGGGAACUGGAUACAGGCUCACAGAUAAGUAAACAAAUAGGAAAAAGAGAUCACUAACAACUGUGGAAGACAGAAAAGGUACAAGCACAAAGCGAGGAAAAUAUGGUCAAAUCAAGAAGUAGUUAUCAAGGAUCUAUUGUGUAACAAUAAUAAA